rnacentral:rRNA from 1 species
UACGGAGGGUGCAAACGUUGCUCGGAAUCAUUGGGCGUAAAGCGCACGUGGGCGGCCUGUUAAGUCGGGUGUGAAAGCCCUGGGCUCAACCCAGGAAGUGCACUCGAAACUGGCGGGCUUGAAUAUGGAAGAGGGUCGCGGAAUUCCCGGUGUAGAGGUGAAAUUCGUAGAUAUCGGGAGGAACACCAGUGGCGAAGGCGGCGACCUGGGCCAAUAUUGACGCUGAGGUGCGAAAGCGUGGGGAGCAAACAGG